ensembl:lncRNA
CAAACAUUUAAAUCAAUCAGAACUUUUUUCUCUCAGCUUGUAUCUGUCUAUCUCUCUCUUCCUCCAUCAUUACUCUUCCUCUCUUUCUCCUCCUCUUUUCCUAUGUGUGUGUGUGACAAGACUGUGUGCUGUCGCUAUCUCCUCCUGUGUGUGUCACAGGAGUGUGUGUUGCUUUCCUCCUGCAUGUGUGUGUGUUCUCUCUCCUCAGGAGUGUGUGUUGGCGUGACAGGGCUUGUUGUGGCAUUGUGUAGCUGUCAGCCCCGCGGCUGGAGGAAGAUGUAUGAAGACACAGAGACAGGAGGACAGGAGUGCGUCAGAGAGGAUUGAGCUGUCACUGAUUCACAGCAAACUGCUCGGUCAUCACACUGCUGCUGCUUAGAGCAGGUCAGCGAGACGGAGAAAUAGAGGAGCCGUCAGCCAGCCAGGAGCUGCCAGAGCCGUCAGCCAGCCAGGAGCUGCCAGAGCCGUCAGUCAGCCAGGAGCUGCCAGAGCCGUCAGUCAGCCAGGAGCUGCCAGAGCCGUCAGCCAGCCAAGAGCUGCCAGAGCCGUCAGUCAGCCAGGAGCUGCCAGAGCCGUCGAGCUGCCAGAGCCGUCAACCAGCCAGGAGCUGCCAGAGCCGUCGAGCUGCCAGAGCCGUCAACCAGCCUGAACUACCCCUCAGUCCUGAGCUACCUCUCAGUCCUGAGCUACCCUAUAGGUUCAGGUUUUGCGGCCGGAGUCCUCACCUUGGGGGGGGGGGGUACUGUCACGUUCUGACCAUAGAUCUUUUGUGUUUUCUUUGUUUUAGUGUUGGUCAGGAUGUGAGCUGAGUGGGCAUUCUAUGUUGUGUGUCUAGUUUUCCCGUUUCUAUGUUUGGCCUGAUAUGGUUCUCAAUCAGUGGCAGGGCUUAGUCAUUGUCUCUGAUAGGGAACCAUAUUUAGGUAGCCUGUUGUGUGUUGGGUUUUGUG